AAUAUUGGACAAUGGGGGAAACCCUGAUCCACCCAGGCCGCGUGUGUGAAGAGGGCCUUCGGUUUGUAAAUCACUUUAAGUGGGGGGGAGGGGUUUUAGGCUAUUACCUUGAAGUUUUGACUUUACCACCAGAAUAAGAACCGGCUAACUCUGUCCCAGCAGCCGCGGUAAUACAGAGGGUGCAAGCGUUAAUCGGAAUUACUGGGCGUAAAGCGCGCGUAGGUGGUUUGUUAAGUUGGAAGUGAAAGCCCCGGGCUCAACCUGGGAACUGCUUUCAUAACUGCUGAGCUAGAGUACGGUAGAGGGUAGUGGAAUUUCCUGUGUAGCGGUGAAAUGCGUAGAUAUAGGAAGGAACACCAGUGGCGAAGGCGACCACCUGGACUGAUACUGACACUGAGGUGCGAAAGCGUGGGGAGCAAAC
rnacentral:rRNA from 1 species